UUGCAGUAAAAGCUCGUAGUUGGAUUUCUGGGAGGGUGCCAAUGUCCGCCGACGUGCGUGCGCAGCGGCGCCCUUCCAUCCUUCUGUUAACGCCUCUUGGCAUUCAUUUGCUGGUGGUGGGCUCAGAUAUUUUACCUUGAGAAAAUUAGAGUGUUACAGGCAGGCUAGGCCGGAAUACAUUAGCAUGGAAUAAUGGAAUAGGACUACGGUCUCUUUGUUGGUUUGAGGGACUGCAGUAAUGAUUAAUAGGGGUAGUUGGGGGCAUUAGUAUUUAAUUGUCAGAGGUGGAAUUCUCGGAUUUCGUUAAAGACUAACUUAUGCGAAAGC
rnacentral:rRNA from 1 species